CCUACGGGCGGCAGCAGUGAGGAAUAUUGGUCAAUGGGCGAGAGCCUGAACCAGCCAAGUCGCGUGAGGGAGUACUGCCCUAUGGGUUGUAAACCUCUUUUGUCGGGGAGCAAAAGCCGGACGUGUCCGGCUGUGAGAGUACCCGAAGAAAAAGCAUCGGCUAACUCCGUGCCAGCAGCCGCGGUAAUACGGAGGAUGCGAGCGUUAUCCGGAUUUAUUGGGUUUAAAGGGUGCGCAGGCGGAUUUUUAAGUCAGCGGUCAAAUCGUGGGGCUCAACCCCAUCCAGCCGUUGAAACUGGGGAUCUAGAGUGUGCGAGAGGUAUGCGGAAUGCGUGGUGUAGCGGUGAAAUGCGUAGAUAUAAGGAAGAACACCAGUGGCGAAGGCGGAUUACUGGACGAUAACUGACGGUGAGGCGCGAAAGCGUGGGGAGCAAACAGGAUUAGAUACCCCUGUAGUC
rnacentral:rRNA from 1 species